rnacentral:snoRNA from 1 species
GCUGACUUACUCAGCAUCCAGCAGGUGCUUUUUCUGUCAGCCAGUGAGCAUUUCAGGGUGCUGUGGCCACUUUGACCUCUCUAGGGUGAUGGCAACUGCCUGGGGACACAGGU